ensembl:lncRNA
CUUGUUACUGUGCAGGCCAACACUGUCACAGGUUCUAAGACGUGGACAUCUUUGGAGGUCACUGUUCUGCAUGGCCAGCCUCCCCCCGCAGGGGUCCCGUCACAGCCCAGAUGAUUUCCACAGGUUUUAGUCCGUAUCAGAGAGCAGCAUACUUUUGUACUGCUUGUCCUGGAAAAAGAUUUCCGGUUUUUCUCCAAUUGUGCUAACUUGGGUCACACACUGCCGAACCAGUGGCCAUGGCUAGUGAAAGGACCUGAGUCUCAGGUCCAUCCCUGGAGCUAGAGUGGGGUCAGCCCCCAUGGUGACCCGGAGGAGAAGAGCGUGAUGCCUCUGAGGACAGUUGAGGAGGGAGAGGCCGCUGACCCCUGCAGACCUUAAAGAGCUUGUAUCCAUAUUCAGGUGGAAGAAAUGGGGUGGGAGGCGGGUGGGGCCACGGGGCGUGAUUCCAGCUUGUGGGGACCAAUUCUCGCCGGGACGUCAGCUCCCGCCCUGCAGCUCAGGGGGCACUAUCAGAGCUGCUCAGCACUGGCGGUGCCAUGGAGCACAGUGGUGGCCUGGUGACAACCUGAUCCGAGGUCAGUAUGGGGCACGCCGAGGAAGGUACAUGGUUAAUACAGUCACUGGCAAGGUGGAUAGCCUCAGAGAAGACGGAGAUUUCCAUUUCACUCCUAGAAGAGUCUUUAAAGCCAAAACUCAAAUCAAAGAGCAAAGUAUAAUAACUUCCUCUGGGUAAAUUUAUAAUUAAUCCUGGAUUAAUUGGUCUUAAUGAAAUUGAAUUAAUUACUAGCUGUUUGUAAAGAACUUUGAACUACCUUAAUACAAAAUAGCAUUAAAAGAACAGAAAGGAACCCGCAUUGCAUUAACAUUAAGAAGAAAUCCCAAAUAAUCGCAGUUCUGCAGGCCGUUCCCUGUCAAUCAUUUCCCAGGGACUGGGCCCAGCCUUGGAACCCAGCCUGGGACUCAGGAGUUUGUGGCAGAGGACGGUGUCUUUGUGGGCUGGAGGUCUGGCAGUGGCUCCACUCAAGAAACAGUUUGCACAUGCUCUCCUGGGGGCAAGCAAAGAUAUGCAAGGGUCCUCAGCUCACUGGGACAGGGGCGAGCACCAGAGCACCAGGCUGGUCUAAAGCAAAGUGGCUUCCCUGGGGUAGAAGCCAGCAGAGACAAAGGGCAGAGAGGCAGGCGUGACGGGACCUGCGUCUUGCUGGCAGCGGCGCUCCAGUUCCUGCAGGGUGUCCCUCACACGCCUCCGGGCACACCUGCCAAGGCAGAGCUCUGUGCUUCCCUGCUGGUGCCCAGGCAUGCCGCCCCCAGGAUACAGUCUUAAGCUGGCCGACUUUCAGACAACCCAGAGCUGCCAUCUCCUUGGCGCUUGUGGAGAUGGGGCUGGACUCCCCCACGGGGCUCAGGCCCCACCCCGAGGCCCACUGCUGGGGAAGGAGUGGCGUGUGAGCCGGCUGCGGCGGGACUGGAGACAGGAGCACCUGGCCUAAAGCCGCAGCCCUGCCGCCGGUGAGCGUUUGGGUGUAAGUCCGGCCAGGUCAUGGCUGCAGCCCACAGCCCCAGGCAUCAGGGGUUCACCAGGCAAAUGUUCCUGGGAUUUCAUACAGAAACACUCUUGACAGGCGGGGCUGUCCCCGCUUGGCUGAAGCUGAGCAGCGGCAGCCCGUCCGUGCAGGGCCCCUCUGGGCGCUGCAAACGCUGCCGAUCUCUCCUGAGAGCCACCCGCCGGGCCCAGGCAGGCAUUUGG